GUUUGCGAAUUGCAGAAAAAGAUGUUUACGUACAAAUAAAAAUAUCUAGAGAGAUAAUACAAAAUAAUUAGUGAAAUAGUUGUAAAAUUCUAGAUUCUUGAUCUAUUUUUCAAAUAAAUUUUAUCGCUAGUUGAUUUAUCUGGACUAUAUUGAUAGAUCUAGAUCACUGUCAAGCUCUUUGAUCUCUUUUGUUGGUCUUAUAAUAAUUUGAAAAAAGGGCGUAAAACUGACUGCCGCCGAUUAUAAACAAACAACGGCACUUUCACUUUCAAUCAGCAACUCAUUCCAUUGAGCUGAUGUUUGUAACACUGUUGUCUCAUGUACUCACAUGGACUGUUGUAGUUGCAGUAUUACUAAAGGCUUUCUCCGACCCCGAUGAUAAAAAAAGGGGAACCUUGAGCCUCGACUCUAAUGUGCAGUGUGUCUUGAGGGUCUUCUUCUGUGAAGCCCUGUUCCAGCUGAAUACUACUGAAAUAGAUAACUUAAACAAAUUGUUGACUUGUUUUCAAGAAACGAUGUGCUUACGGAAAGAAGUCCAAAUGUUUUGGUUCGAGAAGAUUCAAAUGACAAGGGAACUUAUCAAUGGUACACUAUAGUUGAAUCGUUUCGCAAUCUGUGUAUGAAAAAGAGAGUAUGUCAUUUGCUAAAUCUGGACAAGAGAAAGCAACUCUCCGACUUCUGUCUGUUGUGACCAGUUUUAUCUUUUUGUUUCUUUUUAGCCUUGGAAAACAAAAAUACAUUGUUUAAAUAUUCAAA